CUAUGCGCCUUGCCAGCCCGCCUCAGAAACUACAAAGGAAAGUUAGACGGGGACCCGCACCAAGCAGCGGAGCGUGUGGUUUAAUUCGUUGCUACACGAAGAACCUUACCUGGGUUUGACAUAUAGGUGUAGGGAACUGAAAGGGACCGACCCUCGGGAGCCUAUACAGGUGUUGCAUGGCUGUCGUCAGCUCGUGUCGUGAGAUGUUCGGUUAAGUCCGCUAACGAGCGCAACCCUCCGUCGUAUGUUAUAUGUGUCAUACGAGACUGCCGGUAAAAAGCCGGAGGAAGGUGAGGAUGAUGUCAAGUCAGCAUGACCUUUAUAUCCAGGGCUACACACACGCUACAAUGGUCUGUACAAUGGGUAGCCAAGCCGCGAGGCGGAGCCAAUCCUGAAAGCAGGCCUCAGUUCAGAUUGCAGUCUGCAACUCGACUGCAUGAAGCCGGAGUUGCUAGUAACCGCAGGUCAGCAAUACUGCGGUGAAUACGUUCCCGGGUCUU
rnacentral:rRNA from 1 species